AAAUGAAUUGACGGGGGCCCGCACAAGCAGCGGAGCAUGUGGUUUAAUUCGAAGCAACGCGAAGAACCUUACCUGGACUUGACAUCUCCUGAAUUACUCUUAAUAGAGGAAGCCCUUCGGGGCAGGAAGACAGGUGGUGCAUGGUUGUCGUCAGCUCGUGUCGUGAGAUGUUAGGUUAAGUCCUGCAACGAGCGCAACCCUUAUCAUUAGUUGCUACCAUUAAGUUGAGCACUCUACUGAGACUGCCCGGGUUAACCGGGAGGAAGGUGGGGAUGACGUCAAAUCAUCAUGCCCCUUAUGUCCAGGGCUACACACGUGCUACAAUGGUGAGUACAACAAGAUGCAAUCCCGUGAGGGGGAGCCAAACUUAUAAAACUCAUCUCAGUUCGGAUUGUAGGCUGAAACUCGCCUACAUGAAGCUGGAGUUGCUAGUAAUCGCGAAUCAGCAUGUCGCGGUGAAUACGUUCCCGGGCCUUGUACACACCGCCCGU
rnacentral:rRNA from 1 species